rnacentral:miRNA from 1 species
CCCAGUUGAAUUUGAAUUUCAGAGAAACAAUGAAUAUUUUUUUAGUGUGUAAGUAUGUACCAUGCAAUGUUUGGGACAUACUUAUACUACACAAUUAUUCAUUUACAUGAGAUUCAAAUUU